AGUGAACGCUGGCGGUAGGCCUAACACAUGCAAGUCGAACGGCAGCACAGGAGAGCUUGCUCUCUGGGUGGCGAGUGGCGGACGGGUGAGGAAUACAUCGGAAUCUACUCUGUCGUGGGGGAUAACGUAGGGAAACUUACGCUAAUACCGCAUACGACCUACGGGUGAAAGCAGGGGAUCUUCGGACCUUGCGCGAUUGAAUGAGCCGGUGUCGGAUUAGCUAGUUGGCGGGGUAAAGGCCCACCAAGGCGACGAUCCGUAGCGGGUCUGAGGGGAUGAUCAGCCACACUGGAACUGAGACACGGUCCAGACUCCUACGGGAGGCAGCAGUGGGGAAUAUUGGACAAUGGGCGCAAGCCUGAUCCAGCCAUACCGCGUGGGUGAAGAAGGCCUUCGGGUUGUAAAGCCCUUUUGUUGGGAAAGAAAUCCAGCUGGCUAAUACCCGGUUGGGAUGACGGUACCCAAAGAAUAAGCACCGGCUAACUUCGUGCCAGCCGCCGCGGUAA
rnacentral:rRNA from 1 species